UCACCUCCUGUUUGAGUAGCAAAAAGGAUAACACAUAUCAGGCAGUUUAAAAUCCUCCCUGGUGUUAUCCAUAGGCAGUUAGUCAGAAAGAUUUCUAAGGAAAAAUCCUUCUCAACACAGAAAAAUAUACUUGAAUAUUCUGUAAGGCACUUUGUAGAGACAGAAAUAAAUGGGGAAAGCUACAAGCUGUUGAAUUCACUCCCCUAACGUGUCUUUGCCAUCAUAAGAGCAAGAUUUAAUUCAAAACUGAACACCGCUCUGGAAAUUUACUUUCCUCAGGAAAAGUGCAGCCUUGAAGAGAAAGUAAUUACUAAAUAUGAGUGAGGAAAGGGAACAAUGAGCCGAAGCCUAAACAGAUCAUUAUAGUUGUUACCAGAGGGUUUCAGAGUCAGGAAGAGGAAGAAAAUGAGCUACCAGACGAACAAUGCAUGUUUGAAAAUCCUAAGUGAAGAGAAGGCAUGACUAUCAACUCAACUACAGACGUUUGUGUUUUCUUCUCUAGAUCCUCAGCACUGGCAGAUUCUCAGCAAAUGAGGUUAUCACUGGGAGGUAAGGAGGCAACAUAAGUGCUUAUGCCGCAGUUGCAUGGUUGCUAUCCGUGUGCAUACAGAUU